UAUUGUAUUCUGGCUCUCUGCAACUCACAUAUUCACUCAUUGAAGCUAAGCAAGGCUGUGCCCGGUCAGUACCUGGAUGGGAGACCACAUGGGAAAGCUAGGUUGCUGCUGGAA
rnacentral:rRNA from 1 species